rnacentral:rRNA from 1 species
UACGGGGGGGGGCAAGCGUUGUUCGGAAUUACUGGGCGUAAAGGGCUCGUAGGCGGCCAACUAAGUCGGAUGUGAAAUCCCCAGGCUUAACCUGGGAACUGCAUCCGAUACUGGAUGGCUUGAAUCCGGGAGAGGGAUGCAGAAUUCCAGGUGUAGCGGUGAAAUGCGUAGAUAUCUGGAGGAAUACCGGUGGCGAAGGCGGCAUCCUGGACCGGCAUUGACGCUGAUGAGCGAAAGCUAGGGGAGCAAGCGGG